rnacentral:rRNA from 1 species
GACGAACGCUGGCGGCGUGCUUAACACAUGCAAGUCGAACGGAAAGGCCCUGCUUUUGUGGGUUGCUCGAGUGGCGAACGGGUGAGUAACACGUGAGUAACCUGCCCUUGACUUUGGGAUAACUUCAGGAAACUGGGGCUCAUACCGGAUAGGAGCUCCUGCUGCAUGGUGGGGGUUGGAAAGUUUCGGCGGUUGGGGAUGGACUCGCGGCUUAUCAGCUUGUUGGUGUGGUAGUGGCUUACCAAGGCUUUGACGGGUAGCCGGCCUGAGAGGGUGACCGGCCACAUGGGGACUGAGAGACGGCCCAGACUCCUACGGGAGGCAGCAGUGGGGAAUAUUGCACAAUGGGCGGAAGCCUGAUGCAGAAACGCCGCGUGCGGGAUGACGGCCUUCGGGUUGUAAACCGCUUUCGCCUGUGACGAAGCGUGAGUGACGGUAAUGGGUAAAGAAGCACCGGCUAACUACGUG